UACGAGUGCCCCAAGCGUUAUCCGGAAUUAUUGGGCGUAAAGGGUGUGUAGGUUGUUUUGUUAGUCUUCUGUGAAAGCUUUCCGGCUCAACCGGGAAAACGCAGAGGAAACGGCAAAUCUAGAGGAUGCGAGGGGUCUGUAGAACUCAUGGUGUAGGGGUGAAAUCCGUUGAUAUCUGGAGGAACACCGGUGGCGAAGGCGGCAUCCUGGACCGACACUGACACUGAGGAGCGAAAGCCAGGGGAGCAAACGGG
rnacentral:rRNA from 1 species